rnacentral:sRNA from 1 species
ACAUAGCCGAAAGUUGCAGAGAUGAAGGGUGAAAGUUGGAAUGAUUGGGUUUUGUGGGUCAGGUCUGUGACCUCGCUUUUCUCCUGGAGCAGAGGGAAUACUUGUCAUGGUAAUGGGGUAGCCCAGAGGGUGUGGAGAUGGCUGGGAAAGGUGAGGCUUCAGUUUGGGGGUCAGAGCAAGAGUCGGUCAGUGGUCACCUGGGACCUCCAGCAGGUGCAGCCCCCGAGACUCCCACGUGCCUGCCAGACACCACGCCCCACCCCGCACCGGUGGUCUGUUCUGCCGACCCACAGUAAGGAGAGGAGGGAGGACUGGUGAGCCUCCUGGGCCAGGUGGCCAGGGGCCCGGCCUGAGUAAGCAGCAGGGUCUGCUGCUGCUGCAGGUUGGCUCUUGAGUCCCUGGACCCUCGCACACUGCGGCUGCUGUGGAGGCAGCGAGAACUGGAGAUCCAGGCCUUGCGGUGGGCCGUCCAGAAUGGCCAGGACGCCUGGCGCUGCCACAUCCUGGAGGAGGUGGCGGGGCUUCCGCCCAAGAGGUCUGCAGCAGUCCCCAGCCCAACCCAACCCCGCCCUGUCCUCGCCCGGACUCCUGGUUUCUGUCUGACCCCAACCCCAACUGCUGAGUCAGAUCCUUACCCUCAUCCUUGCCCACGCUGAGCCUCUACCCUGAUC